rnacentral:rRNA from 1 species
GACGAACGCUGGCGGCGUGCUUAACACAUGCAAGUCGAACGGAAAGGCCCUGCUUUUGUGGGGUGCUCGAGUGGCGAACGGGUGAGUAACACGUGAGUAACCUGCCCUUGACUUUGGGAUAACUUCAGGAAACUGGGGCUAAUACCGGAUAGGAGCUCCUGCUGCAUGGUGGGGGUUGGAAAGUUUCGGCGGUUGGGGAUGGACUCGCGGCUUAUCAGCUUGUUGGUGGGGUAGUGGCUUACCAAGGCUUUGACGGAUAGCCGGCCUGAGAGGGUGACCGGCCACAUUGGGACUGAGAUACGGCCCAGACUACUACGGGAGGCAGCAGUGGGGAAUAUUGCACAAUGGGCGGAAGCCUGAUGCAGCAACGCCGCGUGCGGGAUGACGGCCUUCGGGUUGUAAACCGCUUUCGCCUGUGACGAAGCGUGAGUGACGGUAAUGGGUAAAGAAGCACCGGCUAACUACGUG